rnacentral:rRNA from 1 species
UACGGGAGGCAGCAGUGGGGAAUAUUGGGCAAUGGGCGCAAGCCUGACCCAGCAACGCCGCGUGAGGGAAGAAGGUUUUCGGAUUGUAAACCUCUAUCGUCGGGGACGAGGAAGAGACGGUACCCGGCAAGGAAGCUCCGGCUAACUACGUGCCAGCAGCCGCGGUAAU